GCCUUCGUGGUGUAGUGGUCAGCCCGCUCGACUCGUAACCGAGGAGUCCGUGGUUCGAUUCUCGGAGAAAGCA
rnacentral:tRNA from 1 species